UACCUUGAUUUCAUUUCCAAGACUUUGGUGU
rnacentral:piRNA from 1 species